rnacentral:rRNA from 1 species
UACGUAGGGCGCAAGCGUUGUCCGGAAUUAUUGGGCGUAAAGAGCUCGUAGGCGGUCUGUCGCGUCUGUUGUGAAAACUCGAGGCUCAACCUCGGGCUUGCAGUGGAUACGGGCAGACUAGAGUGCGGUAGGGGAGACUGGAAUUCCUGGUGUAGCGGUGGAAUGCGCAGAUAUCAGGAGGAACACCAAUAGCGAAGGCAGCUCGCUGGGACGGUACUGACACUAAGGCGCGAAAGCGUGGGGAGCGAACAGG